rnacentral:piRNA from 1 species
UAGGGCAGUGGCGCAGAAGGUAGAGG